rnacentral:rRNA from 1 species
GACGAACCGUGCGAACGUUGUUCGGAAUCACUGGGCUUAAAGGGCGCGUAGGCGGCCGAUCAAGUCGGGGGUGAAAGCCUGUGGCUCAACCACAGAAUUGCCUUCGAUACUGUUUGGCUUGAGACCGGAAGAGGUUAGUGGAACUGCGAGUGUAGAGGUGAAAUUCGUAGAUAUUCGCAAGAACACCAGUGGCGAAGGCGGCUGACUGGUCCGGUUCUGACGCUGAGGCGCGAAGGCGUGGGGAGCAAACAGG